rnacentral:rRNA from 1 species
CCUACGUGUGGCAGCAGUGAGGAAUAUUGGUCAAUGGGCGCGAGCCUGAACCAGCCAAGUAGCGUGAAGGAUGACUGCUCUAUGGGUUGUAAACUGCUUUUAUAAGGGAAUAAAGUGAGGCACGUGUGCCUUUUUGUAUGUACUUUAUGAAUAAGGAUCGGCUAACUCCGUGCCAGCAGCCGCGGUAAUACGGAGGAUCCGAGCGUUAUCCGGAUUUAUUGGGUUUAAAGGGAGCGUAGAUGGGUUGUUAAGUCAGUUGUGAAAGUUUGGGGCUCAACUGUAGAAUUGCAGUUGAUACUGGCAGGCUUGAGUACAGUUGAGGUAGGCGGAAUUCGUGGUGUAGCGGUGAAAUGCUUAGAUAUCACGAAGAACUCCGAUUGCGAAGGCAGCUUACUAAACUGCCACUGACAUUGAUGCUCGAAAGUGUGGGUAUCAAACAGGAUUAGAUACCCGUGUAGUC